rnacentral:rRNA from 1 species
UACAGAGGGGGCCAGCGUUAUUCGGAAUUAUUGGGCGUAAAGGGCGCGUAGGCGGCUUUGCGUGUCUUUCGUGAAAUCCCUCGGCUCAACUGAGGACGUGCGGAAGAAACUGCAGGGCUGGAGUCCGGGAGAGGAGGGUGGAAUUCCCAGUGUAGCGGUGAAAUGCGUAGAUAUUGGGAGGAACACCGGUGGCGAAGGCGGCCCUCUGGACCGGUACUGACGCUGAUGCGCGAAAGCGUGGGGAGCAAACAGG